AUUAAACGCUGGCGGCAUGCCUUACACAUGCAAGUCGAACGGCAGCACGGGGGCAACCCUGGUGGCGAGUGGCGGACGGGUGAGUAAAGCAUCGGAACGUAUCCUGGAGUGGGGGGAUAACGUAGCGAAAGUUACGCUAAUACCGCAUAUUCUGUGAGCAGGAAAGCAGGGGAUCGCAAGACCUUGCGCUCUGGGAGCGGCCGAUGUCGGAUUGGCUAGUUGGUGGGGUAAAGGCCUACCAAGGCGACGAUCCGUAGCGGGUCUGAGAGGAUGAUCCGCCACACUGGGACUGAGACACGGCCCAGACUCCUACGGGAGGCAGCAGUGGGGAAUUUUGGACAAUGGGCGGAAGCCUGAUCCAGCCAUGCCGCGUGAGUGAAGAAGGCCUCGGUUGUAAG
rnacentral:rRNA from 1 species